rnacentral:lncRNA from 1 species
AUAAAACUUGUCAAAAAUAAUAUCUCUCUAUAUAUAUAUAUAGAGAGAGAGAGAGCUAGGUUGGUGUACUAUCGGUAGCACGGAGACCUCCGUGCGAUCAAGUUAUUUUCGAUGAUGCGGCUUUCAAAUUGACGAUUGGCUCCGUUAGACUUGAUCUAUAUUAUUAAAAGUAUUUGGAAACUAAAUUUCAUAAUUUUUCGGUAUUAUUUACCUAUCAAACGCGCGAAUAGUCUAAAAAUGAACGGCUGAAAAUAAAAAUCUCAUAAAAAAUGAUGAUAAAAGACUUGAAUUUAAAAUCAGAGGUACUGAUCUUACUCUAAAUAGUGAAAAAAAUUUUCUAUAAAAAUUUCAUCAGAUUUGGAUUGUUUUACACUGUUAAAUUCACAUACUCAUCACAUCUACCAUUAAAAUUGUCAAUUUUGAGACAUUUUGAUCACUAGCCAAAUGAUGUUGAAAAAUUAUAAAAUUUAGUUUCCAAACACUUUUAAUUGUGUAGAUCAAGUCUAACGGAGCCGAACGUCGAUUUGAAAGCCGCAUUAUUAAAAAUAACUUGGUAGUACGAUGGCCUCUAGGUAACGGUGUACUGAUCUUACUAUAAAUAGUGAAAAGAAUUUCUAUAAAAAUUUCAUCAGAUUUGGAUUAUUUUAUACCGUUAAAUUCACAAACGUAUCACAUCUAUCAUUAAAAUUAUCAAUUUUGAGACCUUUUAAUCACUAGUCAAAUGAUGUCGAAAAAUUAUGAAAUUUAGUUUUCAAAUACUUUCNAAUCUGAAACGUAACCUAAAAAUCUAUCCAUAAAUUAAUCAUUUAGUUCUAAACAAAAUAAGGCUAUAAGCCUAUGGUACAUCUCACACAAAUAUAUAUAACUAUAUAUAUAUAUAUAUAUAUAUAUAUAUAUAUGAACUACGUUACUAUACUAUUAAUAGUGUUAAACGCUUGGUGCUGCUAGGUUUUCGAUCUUUUGAUAAAGGAAUAUGCGAUUAAAAUGAUAGUGAUUCUCUAGAAUAAAAUAGGUGAAUAAUAUAAUUUAAGAGAUAAAAAUGAUCAAAAAAAUAAAUCUAUCGACAAAAGAUUCGAUAGUAUGAUAGCAGGACUCGUGUAUAUGCAUUAAAAAGAAAUAUAUAAAACUAAAAAUUAGGGU